UGCGCAGGUGGGCUUGUAAGUCAGUGGUGAAAUACUGCCGCUUAACGGUAGAACUGCCAUUGAUACUGCAAGUCUUGAGUAUGGUUGAGGUAGGCGGAAUGUGUUGUGUAGCGGUGAAAUGCAUAGAUAUGACACAGAACUCCAAUUGCGAAGGCAGCUUACUAAGCCAUUACUGACGCUGAGGCACGAAAGCGUGGGGAGCGAACAGGAUUAGAUACCCUGGGUAGUCC
rnacentral:rRNA from 1 species